UACGAAGGGGGCUAGCGUUGUUCGGAAUUACUGGGCGUAAAGCGCACGUAGGCGGAUAUUUAAGUCAGGGGUGAAAUCCCAGAGCUCAACUCUGGAACUGCCUUUGAUACUGGGUAUCUUGAGUAUGGAAGAGGUGAGUGGAAUUCCGAGUGUAGAGGUGAAAUUCGUAGAUAUUCGCAAGAACACCAGUGGCGAAGGCGGCUCACUGGCCCGGUACUGACGCUGAGGUGCGAAAGCGUGGGGAGCAAACAGG
rnacentral:rRNA from 1 species